rnacentral:lncRNA from 1 species
CACCCGCACAAUAGACCCGGCCUUCCCCCCCCCCUCGCCAUAUCCGGGGACUAUAUGCGCAGCCCGCGGAGGUUUCCCCUCUCCUCGCCGCUCCCGGCCGCGCCCCGCUCUACCCACCCGCGCCAUUUACCUGCCCGGGCGCCGGCCGUGCCGCUGUCCCCGCUGGCGCUGGGAGGCCGCCCCCUCGGCAUGGCGGCCCCCUCCCUCCCCCCGCCCCCCCCCAGCGCGCACGCACACACACACACGCACACACAGAGCCUCGUGCAGCGACGGUUGGCGGAAGGAGGAGGAGAGGGCGGGGAAGAGAAGAACGGACCCGACCCUGCGCGCCGACCGACCGCGGGGACUCGGCGCCCUGGGAGCACACGAGGCGGGCGUGCAGCGCAGGCGCAAACGGGCCCGCUGGGGAUGUGCUGCGGUGGGAAUGGAGAGAGGGGGAAGAAGCGCACUCACAGCGAGGCCAAGCGGCGCAGGCGCGCUGCGGGAGGGAAAGGGGAGCCGGGUGCGCAUGCGCGGGAGUAAAGCUUGCGGUGGGAGGGGGCGCAUGCGUAAAGCGGGGGGUGGGUAAGAGUUGGGGUCUGAGCGGGGCCGGGUUUGGGCUGUGGAGCGUGGCUGUGGUGGGUUCAUGCCAUUAAAGAGGAGAUGCUUCCACCCAUAUAUCGUUCUAGCUCUUGGUGGCCUUCGCUGCUUCCAAUGGAACUGCUGUGUUCCCUGUUAGAAUUCACAAAGCUUCCAUUUUUAAAUUGACGUUUUUACCGUGCCUUAAUAAAUUCAAAGCUUUCAGCGCCUGCUUUUGAAGGGUCACUUCAUUGAGCUUUUUCCAUUAUCUGAAUAGCUUAGCCUGUUUCAAAUUCUAAGGCUUUCUGAGUUAGGUUUUUCUUCUGCGCCUUUUAAUUUCAAGUACUCAGAAAAGGUGUGUUUUCCCUCAGAGGGCGGUGAGGCGCUGGCACAGCUGCCCAGAGAAGCUGUGGUGCCCCAUCCCUGGAGGCGCUCAAGGCCAGGUUGGAUGGGGCCCUGGGCAGCUGAGCUGGCGGGGGGCAGCUCUGCCCACAGCAGGGGAUGGGGCUGGGUGGGCUUUGAGGGCCCUUCCAACCCAAACUAUCCUGUGAUCUCUGUAUAAACGGAACUGCUAUGAGGAUGCUGCCUGCAGUGAUAAAAUGAAUUUUAGUUUAAGGCUACGCAGUCUUUUGCCCAAUAGUAGAUUCAAGACUGGCUUUUGCCCGGAAUCACUGAGUUGCUCAGCUGUUGAGAUGCUCAAAUUCUUCUCCUUGCAUUCUAGGAUAUCCUUCUUUUCCUCCCCCUACCCCAUAUGGCCAACAUAUGGCCAGUUUCUUUAUUUCAGCCCGUGUAGUGUUUCAGCGGCCUCUAUUAAAAUGCAUUUGAUAUUGCGUGGGCCUAGUUGAUCAAGCAAAUUCAGUCUCCCUGCCUUUAUCACUUAAUGCUUUUAUAUCAUUUUCUCUAUUUCAGUAUUUCUCAGGAAAUAGAAUUAAAUGUGUACUUCCAUUUAUUGAUCAAAAUUAAAUAGCAGGCAAAGUACUGAUACCUGUAACUUAUAGCAACAAGGUUUUAUUUACUGGGUUUUUUUCAUCAUCAAGUAUUGAUAAUUUUUAUCAUCUUCUGCUGGAAAUGUAUGGAGCUGGUUUUUGUCAGCAAUUAAUUAAAUGCUUUUCAAAUAUCUCAUUAAAUUACAUCUGAACACUUGCCUUUAGCUACCAAAUUUAAUCAUAUCAAGGAGAGAAAUCAGGAUUUUGGAAUGCGAGUUUUCAUUUCUUCCUGAAGGCUGAGACUGGAUAAGUGCAUUUGGAAAAUUUCUUCUUCUGUCUGCCAGUAAAAAAAAAUAAAGAUUAUUUAAAUGUAUUUAAUAUUCUCUGCAGAAGUGCAGCAUUGAUGCAUAGAUAGGGAAGACGAGGGAUGCAACUGCUGUGACUCUUGCCUGGGGCUCCCUGCAGCUUUCUGCUUGCUAGGAGCCCAGCUGCACACAGAAAAAACGCGAAGAGCAGCAGUGGCCUCUGGUGGUGAUAGGCUUGUUCUGUGCUGAACGUUGUUACGGUUCUUGGUCGUUUCAGCAGUUAAAUACAGCCUGCAAUUCCAUGGGAUAAGGCAGCAUCUGCUCACAAGAUUUCAGUUAGACCCAAAGACAGGAUUCUGAAACAAGGAAACUCAAUUGAAUUGCUAUCUUAAAAACUCUUUGCACAAGCUUGUUAUUCCAACUACUAGUUCUUUUUCUGUUCCAAUUUAGCUGUAGGAUUAUCUGUAUUUUACGUGAGCUCUGCAUUAGGAUUAAGCACUUUGAAUCGUGAGUUCUGUUGCAGUUUUGCAUGGAACUGCCAUGUACUUCCCAGGAAAGCAAGCAGGACAGUAUGUGCAGCACCUUCUGUCUGGACUGAUAUCAGCAAAAAUUGUAUGUCAUUUUUCAAGUCUAAUGCAAAAAGCAACUUCAGUUUCUAUACUGGCUUUUCAGCGUUAUUGUUCCCUGCGUGACUUUCAGUGUUCAGCAGUAGUACACACAAUCAGGGUUAAUUUUGUACCACAAAAGUCUGUGUGUCCCAAAUUUAUGUGGUAUUUCAGUGCAUAUCAGUGUUCAGCAUCACAUUCAUUCCUUACAAAAUUAGCUUUGCAUAAGAGCUGAAGAGACAUCAAAUUUUGCUUCAGACCUUCAAGGAGCCCCUUGUGUUGGAAGAGAAAAGUAACACUUCUAUGAAGAAUAUAUGGAACAGAUGUUGAAGAGCAUAUAAAAAUAACUUUUUAUUAAUAAGGAAGUGCUAACUCAGAUGUCUAAAAUACUGUCUUUGAAUUUACAGCCAUUUUCAGUCUACCGAAGCUAUUUAAUGUGUGACUUACGUUCUUUGUCUAUAUGAUUGACGUAUUUUCCAGCUGUGCUUUGCAGCUCUUGGAAGAAAGGCACUUAAUGCAUAGCUAAAACUGUUGCUCUGCGUGUUGAGUGAAUCUGUUUGAAGAAAUGCUGGUAUUUCAAUGUAUUUUAAAAAUGUUGUAUUUUGUAAAGAAUAAAAUAACCCACAGCAGUUUCUCUUUACAGUCUGUUGCAUUAUUCUGGAGGUGCUGCACAGAACUUUUCAGAUUUGGGGUGUGCCCUAGUGUUACAAGCCAGUGCCUUUUCAGCUUGUCACCCUUGGUUGUGCUGACAUCCUUGUGGGAAGGAGAGGACCACAAUUGAGAUAUGGUACCAACCCGAUGUUAGAGCAUAUUUAUUGUUGUGCUUUUUGCAAGCAUAAUAAUACCGGUGCCAAACACAAACAUCUCCUCGGCCAUAUAUUAUAGCUGCAAAGAUCAGGGAGUCAGGUUUAUCAAGUGUCAAGAAUCUGCCUCACUGCAGUGAGGCUGUGUGGGAGGGAUGGACCUCUUCUAAGGAAAGCAAGCUUUGGGCACUUUAAUCACAAAAAUCAUAAGUGAGCUUUUAAACUAAAAAGUAAUGAGAAAGACAAUAAGUGCAGAAAAAUAUAGUUUGAAGCCUUACACAGUUACAGGAUUUCUCAGUCAGAGUGGAAGUGGAGGCAGAACGUCAGUUAAUGAAGAAAGCGUGGCAGAUACAAGUUCUUGAAAUGUAAGGUCCUGCAUGGGGGAAGUGAGUCUUGCUCUAAAUGAAAGUAGUGACAAUGUAUAGAUGUGGAAAGCUUGACUGGAGAAAGAUAAUCCAUGGAAGACUGUAAUAAUAGAACAAUAACAGAACAAUUCAAAGAGGAUGAAAGAAAGUAAACCUUCUUGGUAGUGAUAUAGUGUUAUAUAUUUUUAAAUCAUAACCUAAUUAUGCUAAGAAACUCAUUGCUUUGGCAGGCAAACUUAAGAAUCCACAUGCAUUGAAACUUGAGUCCCAAACUCAAAAAACAUACUGUUGGAUGUAUAUAACCCAGUCCAGCAAGGAAAACUCAGCACCACCUCAUGAAAAGGAAGAUUCUUGUAUGGUUAGAUGGUUGGAAGACAGAAAUAAAUGGUUUGUAUUCACAGUGGAAGGCAGUGACAGACAAGGUUCCAUAAGAUCUGUGUUAGGACCUUUGCUGUUCAACAUAUUCAUAAAUGACUGGAAAGCACAUUAGCAAUGAGGUAAUCAAGUUUGAUUAUGUAAUUUAUUCAGGGUAGUAAAAUUUAGUGACUGAGCAAUAAAAUGACAGCUGAAAUUCGGUGCAGGUAAUUGAAUAGUGAUGUACAUAACAGGAAGAAAUCCUAAUUUCACUUACAUGAGCUCUGAGCCAUCUGGAGUGAAAGUUGGGAGUUAUGAUAGAUAGUCACACAGAAACAUCACUCAGUGCUCAGUAGUGAUUGAAAGAGUAAAUCAAAUGUUAGGAGUCAUUAGGAGAAUAAUGAACAGAAGAGAAAAUGUCACUCUGCCGUUAUGUAAAUCUGUGAUUUUACCACAUUUGUAAUAUGUUGUAGAGUUCUAGCCUAGUCCUCCCUUACCUUCUUAAACAAUACAGGGGCCUGGAGGAAGUUUGGGAAGGGCAAGAAGGAUAGUCGGAGAUAUAGAGUAACUUCUAUAUGAGAAAUAAGUGAGCUACAACUAUUUAGGCUGAAAGGAGAUUAUUUUAAUGCUAAAGGACAAGCUACAGAAAAAUGAUCCAGGAACUAACUUAUUAUUAUUAAGGAGAACAAAUAAUGAGAAAAAGACAUUCAAAUGAGGAGUCAAAGGGUAAAAAGAUAGAAAUAGGAAAUUAAAAGAUAUUCUUCUGAGCAUCUCAGUAUCUGUAAUGGCACUCAUUGUUCCAUUGGGGAUUGGAUACUAGGUAGAAUUUCUUUACAGAAAGGAUGGUUAGGAUUAGAACAGGUUACCCAGGGAUGUGGUGGUGUCACGAUCCCUGGAGGUAUUUGGGAGACGUGAGGACAUGGUGCUAAGGGACAUGGUUUAGCAGUGGACUUGUAGUGUCAGGUGGGUGACUGGACUUGAUCUUGGUGGUCUUUUCCAACCUAAGUAAGUGAUUUUAUGAUUCAAGCAUCCAAAGACUUGGUGAAUGCUGCCCAGCAGUUCUGUACAGGGACAUAGCUAGACCCAUGACCACAACCAAGCUCCUAACACUAGACUGAACUAUUAUGUUUUAAUAGUUAUUUUAUGCUCUUACUUACCUGUGCAAUAGUUUUUGGUGUUUUUUUUUUCCCCUCCUGACAUAACUGUUUUUCCUCUCUUUUAACUAUUUUGUUGAAAUGCAAGUGAUAAUCACAUAGCUUUUUAUUUGUUUCAGAGUCCAAACUCACAUUAAGCUUUUGGAUUCCUUUCUGGCACCUUGAACUAAAUUCAUAAAAGAGUUGCUAUUAAUGAAUGACUUAUUCUCUAUAAUAAUAGGUGUAAGAAUUUGAACAAUAUAUCAGCCUGAAAAUACAUCAGUCAACCUCAUAACAAGUAUUUAAUAUCCUUCCUUAUUUAAAUAAGGAAAAUCAAUCAAUUAUUCAUCUAUUUUCCAUCUUAACAGUAGGACAGAGGCAACAAGAUUAUAAAUGCUGGCCUAAUGUAAAUCAUUAGUGGGUAAAUCACCUUGGCUAUGGUUAAAAUCACUGCAGGCAUUCUACUUAACAAAGUGUUAGUUAGGUGGCAGAAGACUAUAAAACAUUGGGGUUGUGCGAGUUGUCAGUACCAGAGAAGAAAAGUGCGAAUGCCAAGCUGUGUUUCAUCAAAGGCAGAUAGUGAGGAUUGCCCUUUACUAAUGCUAAUUGCAGUCUUUGCUACAUUCAGCAGCUGCUGAGCUGGACCAAAAUGUAGUUGCUAAUGUAUAUGCAGAAAGGUCUAUAUUUUAGUAGUAAGUCACAUCCAUUUACAUCUGUUUUAUAAAUGCUGUAGGCAGCAGAGGCAGAAGGAAGUUGUGAAUUUCCAAAAGCGAAACAAAAAUGGUGGCAAACCCAGAGUUAAAACCCAAACUUCCUGAUCACACAUUCAGUGGGAGUGAACGAGGAGGGGAAAAAGUAUAAAAUCUUCCUAAUUAAAAACCAAAUAAUUUCAUAUGUAAGUCUUAGCAAAUGAGCACUCUGCAAUAACAUUUUUAGCAAUGUCAGUAAUUUAAAACGCAUUUCUUUUACAAAGGCUGUUUUAGAGUUGUUGCCUUCAGUUUUUUCAGCAUAACGUGAACUGAGUAAUACCACUUCUAUGAGAGGAACAAGUGAUUUUGUAAUAGCAUGUAUCUGGAUGGAGGCUCUAGUUAUGGAGUGAGCUGCGUGGAAACCCGAUGCUGACUUUUCCUGGGGAAGGUGAGAGCAGCUGCAUGCUGAUAUUUCAGGAGAGUUGACUGCUGGGGCUUUUAGUUAUCAGCACAGAACUUCAUCCUUAUUUUAUUAACAUAUGCGUGUAUUUGUUCUUUUUUCAGUGCCCACUAGCAUUGUUUGCUUUGCCAAGCUUUUAUUUCCUUCUUCAGUCUCACAUUCCCUAUUGCUACACCUCGGUCCACAUCAGUUCUACCUGCUUGGUCCAUGUAUGCAUUCUCCAACUAUCUUUUUUUCACUCCUGGUGAUUUGUCAGGAGUAAAUACAAGCAGAAUCUUCAAAGAAGAAAGCUACAAAACUGCAAUAUCCAACCACUUAUACCAGGGAGCAUUGCCUGAUUUUUCUAGGGCUCAUGGUUUGGCCAGCUACAGAUGCUUUUCUAUGGACCCUCAUCAAGGGCAAUCCUGCUAGCCCUUAAGUUCGUGUUUCAAGAGAUGUAGGUAACUGCUAUUUUAUUUAAAUGAAGCAGCUGAAAGGGAGUCCAUACAAAAUAAGUUAGCUGUUACCUCACUGGGUCAUUCUGGAAAAAAAAAUAAAUCACAAAAACAUUUUUAUCUGAGAACCAAACUUUCAUAUUUUUUUCUUUGAAAUAAACCUCAAAAUGACAUCAGUCCCAGAAAAGGUCAACCUACUGCGUUGGCAAUGAGAUUGAAAAUGUUUUUAUAAUGGGAAAAGUUAGGCAGUCUUAACAUCAGGUGUCAGUGUGAACACUACCUGUAUAAUAAAGGCUGAAAAUAAUCUGAUUAACAACUUUUAAUGCUCUCACAUGGUAUCCUUGGUUGUGUAUGUUGUAUAGCAAACAGGUAUACAGACUGUAAGGUAAAUAGGUAUACAAGUAUAGGACCAGAGAGAUUAUCACGUUUACAAAGGAGUAAUGAAAUAAAGAGCUUACCCAUGUCCUGGGCUCACAGAAGGGCGCCAAGAGGAGUGAUCUCCAGAUAGAGAUCUUUCCUCCUUGGGAGUCAGCCCUUAAAUGGGGUCUAGGAGGAGCCAGGCUCCACCCCUUCCAGUCACUCAGGUGAAACUGCAUUCACCUGUGCCCCUGCAGCUGACUCAGUGCUCACCUCAGGUGGUCAAUCAGAGGUUCAGACCGUGAUUCAACAGUUCCCAUACAGUAUGUCAAAAGCUGCUUUGUCGUUAGAAAGUACAUUCCAAAUAUUGUCUCAGGUCUCGUAUCUAUCCAAUAGUUACAGUAUCAUAAUCAUGCUGUUUUUUUUUUGUCUUGUCAGCAGUUUUCACCAGCAGCAGCAUCCUAACGAUUACCUUGAAAUCAAACCUCUGAAAGCAGCAACCAUACAUGUAAAUGUCUGAUGUUAUAUUUGCCCUGUAGAAGACUGUGCUAAAUAAAUAAGGUUGAUUGAAAAGGCAGUCUAAACUCUCAAAAGAGAAACAAAGCAAUAUAAUUUUAAAGAGAUUUGUAGAGCUGUGUUGUAAAUGGGAAAAUCUUGCAUAGAAAGGCACUGAAGCAUAUAGUAAUAAAAAUCAAUUGUCUGCAGAGCUGGCUGAACAAGUUAUAAGAAGUUAAUGAAAUGAAUUAAAUGAGAAACACCUGGUAACUAGUAAAAUGGGUUGGUCUUGUUUUGUUUUCCAUGGAGAAAGGAAAGAACACUCGAUUUUAUCUUGAAAUCCAUUUAGGUAUUCCCCCUUUCUGCUUUUAGGAGGGGCUAUCUUCAGCCACCUGUUUCUGUGCUGCAUACAAAAAGCUAUUUUCUGUUAUUGCCAAUUUUGGAGUGCCUAUCUGUAUAUAUUCUCAGGUAUAUGUACUCCGGCCAUGGUGUUUACGCUGCAUUUUUCUGAGGAGAGAUAUUAUUUUUAUCCACGUGGUGGCUUAAAAAUCUGGUCUGUAUGAAAGCUGAGGGUAAUCACAGAUCAGGCAGCUGCAGGUUUAUUCUGUACUAGACCAGAUAUGAAAUAAAAACCUUAGUCAAACCAGAAGACAUAUGGAAGAUAAUUAUUCCUUUAAAAGUUCUGCUACACAUACAUGCGUGUAUAUAUAUAGCCGCAGAGGAAGAAGGCCGGCAGGCAGCCAGGCUUUCCCAGCUGAGAAUUCCCCUGGCACUGGGGGACUCAGCUGGCACCCAGCCCACUGCUGGCUCCUGUCCCGCUCCGCUCCUGUGCUGCAGAGCUGUGAGCACCUUGCCCCGAGCUAUGUGCUCAGCUGGUGUACAUAAAGCUUUCAGGAUGUAGGGCAGGGUAUGCCUAUCCUGAGAGUCAAUGAUCCAUAACUGCCUCCCUCUUUCUAUCCUGUCUGCACUGCCAAACACAUUUCAUCUCUUUGGCUGCAUGUUUGGUGAGGCUCCCACGGUGUAUGGCCUGAGUGUUACCUUCCCAGUCCCUGCAAGGUAGAAAAGUUCUGCUACGCCCCACGUUACCCAUGGGGAAAUAAGGCGGUGCUUUGUUUGUAAUGUCUUUGAAAUCCAUGUUUGAAUAUAAAGAUCCAAAUGGCUCAAAUUGCAUCUGCAUGGCCUGGAGGAGCAGGAGCUCAGGUGCCAGCCAGUCCGGCUCUCAGCCCCGGGUUCCCUUUUUGGAGAGGCACACAGUUCUUCCCAGGUAAGAAUCACAGUGAGAAUCAACAUGCAGGCAGGGUAAGCAUCCAUAAUUUCAUCACAGGGCAACUAAAUUUUGUGAGACUGUGUCUCAAGAGCGGAAUCCAAAACAGCGUAGAGAUACUAGACAGAGUUAGGAUAAUCGUCCCGAAAUUAAAAUCAUUAAACUUUAAAAUUAAAUAAUUACAAACUUGAAAUUACUGAAAAGGUACUGACAAUAAACAGAUUUAUCUGAAAACUCAUUCUGAUUAGGACUUACAGAUUUAUUGCAAGACUGCAAGGUACGAAUCUGGACUUCUCUGACAGUGAGUGCUUACAAGCAAGUAUACCUUGGCAGUGCUAUAUAUUCUGUAUGAUAGCCCAAUGGCUAGAGCAUGGAGUCUGGAGACAGGUGGCAUUGGACCUUCCUUUUUGUCUCUCUUCAUCUGCAGAUGCUCUUAAAGUCUGCAUGCCUCUAAGGCUGCCUUAACAGUGGACUACAAGGUGGUCUGCUUUGGUGCAUCGCCUUAUUGCAGCCUUACCUCCAGAGAAGCAUGCAUUGUGUUGGAUGAUAUUUAGAUUAGAAGAAAUUCUUUACUCAGAGGGCAGUGAGGCGCUGGCAGAGCUGCACAGAGAAGCUGUGGUGCCCCAUCCCUGGAGGCGCUCAAGGCCAGGUUGGAUGGGGCCCUGGGCAGCCUGAGCUGCCCACAACAGGAGGUUGGGCUGGGUGGCCUUUAAUGUCCCUUCCAAUCCAAACCAUUCUAUGGUGCAAUGAAUGUGGUCUUGUGACUUGUAGGACAGUGCUGGAAGUGGUAGGUAGUCAUUUCUAGUGACUUAAAAAAUGGGAUAUUGAUGUAUGCUGCCUUGAAACAUAACACCAGACAUUCCGCAUGGGGUUAAUCAAGAUAUAGAAUAAAAGCCUGUUACACCUCAUAUUGCCUUCUGGUUUUAGCUGAACACUGCAGCCUGUGUUGCAGUGGGAUUAAAGAAACAGGAAUGCAGUCUGUUAAAAGAAUGCAAAAAGCA